rnacentral:rRNA from 1 species
CAGCAGCCGCGGUAAUACGUAGGGCGCAAGCGUUAUCCGGAAUUAUUGGGCGUAAAGAGCUCGUAGGCGGUUUGUCGCGUCUGCCGUGAAAGUCCGGGGCUCAACCCCGGAUCUGCGGUGGGUACGGGCAGACUAGAGUGAUGUAGGGGAGACUGGAAUUCCUGGUGUAGCGGUGAAAUGCGCAGAUAUCAGGAGGAACACCGAUGGCGAAGGCAGGUCUCUGGGCAUUAACUGACGCUGAGGAGCGAAAGCAUGGGGAGCGAACAGGAUUAGAGACCCGCGUAGUCCCUGUCUCUUAUAC